rnacentral:lncRNA from 1 species
AUUUGAGUUUCAUUAUUCGUCUAAGACAAGCAAAAGAAUUCAUUCAAUAAUAAAAAGAAGCUAUUACCAAAGAUGCAAAGGCCACAGGAAUUACAAAACACCAAUUGGAAAAAAUAAGGCCUAUCUCCUAAGUGGUGGCAUCAUUACACUGAGUUCUUGUUAAUUCUCCCAACUUUUUCAAUGGAGUCCUUUAUGGCCUCCUCUGUUGAAGCGCUUGGUUCUUCCGGGAGAAACUCAUCCCUUAAUGAAGGCAAAUCCACCUGAGCUGAGCCAUCGUCUUCAAGACUUAAUUUUAUGCUACAUUUCCUACAGUAUAAAUCGAGGCUGUCAUGCUUAGCUGUUUCAUAGAAAUGCUCUAAGUACUUUUUGAUAGCUGCCUUCUCAAUCCCUUCCAGUUUUUGCCUUAGAUUGGCAACCUCAGCAGUCAACUCAUCAACUUGGGAUUUCAGCUCCUUUUUUUUCCUUAUUUACUACCUUCAAAGUUGAUGAAACUAUCUUGUACAAGUUCUCCACUUGCUUCGUCAGAGCAUUUACCUUAGCUUUGCAGAUGUGGACCUCCUUUACAGAUCUUUAUUCUCUGUAGUAAGGAGUCCCAACCUUAAAUUCGCUUCAGCAUGCCUAAGCUUAAAGUUUUGAUAAUUUCAUCAGUAGUGGAAGCCUCGAAUUUCAGCCUAUAGACAUCUAUCUAUGCAUUAACAACCUUUUGCCAAAAGUCUUUAUUUAGCCUCGUAGCCUCCUCAUGUCCAUUUAAGAUUCAAGAAAAAGCUUUGUGAACGAGCCUGUAGGUCGAUCACCGCCUCCAUCAUGUUAAGUAAGCCGUAGGUCUCGACGUAAUAGGAAUAUUUUGUAGUCCAAUACUUGUUAUGGACUCUUGUAGUAGCUUGGACCUUGGCUAGGAGCAUCUAAAAAAUGACUGGGGUUAAUUAAUCCGACCUCUCCCAAGGAAAUUAUGAGCUUUCCUAUCGGAAGGGCCCUCCUUGAAAACCUUCCUCACUCUCCUCAUUUUAAUGAGGCCAAACUCUUCUUCAGCUUAAUCCUCAGGUUCAACUAUUCCAACGGCCAAGAUGGGGUUCGCCACAAGGGGCUUGUUCAUUGGCUCAUCGAUAGUGGUCUGUCGGUGGUGGAGGCUCGGUAUUUUUCGCGAUUAUUACCCAUCUCUUUGAGGCUUUUCACCUAGAGGCUCCACCUUUUCCUUUCCUUUGUUCUCUGGGUAGGUAAGGGGGUUCAACUUUGAUAGACAAGACAGUUAGUCUCACUAAUGCUUGUAAGAUGAGGUGUUGGUGCUGAAGGGUUUAUUCUUCUUGGCCUUGCCUGGUUGCAUCAUAAAGAACAUGAUAGGCUUGAUAUAUUCAUUCUUCUUGUGUUAGUCUACAAAUUUCGAAACUAUCAGGUCUUGACAUGGAUUCAUAAACAAGGUGUGUGUAUAUAAGUGUGUGUGUGCACAGAGAAGCUAUUUACACUUGGAGGCCAUCAGUAGAUGUGUAAUGAAGAGGGAGCACUUCACGAUAACUGAUUUGAAGAACCUUUCUCAAUAUGGAGUUCGUAUAUGACACGAAAUAUGGCCCACUUUUUUGCUCCAAGCUCAAACCAGUUAACUGCAGUUGCAUUAAAAACAAAAUAAAAAAUAUCUAAGUAGAAAGUGACAAAUAAAUGAAACUCUUGAUAUCAAGAAAUCACUGUACUCAAAAUACUGGGUUGCACAGUUAAUUUUGGGACUUCAUCACCCUUCAUGGUUUGCCAACGACCUUGUAAGAAAACCAAGAUGACUUCCAAUUCUUAAUAGAGGUUGGAGUGUCCCAUAUGAGGAGCGAUUAAGGGCCUCGAGUGUUCAUGCAACAUCACCCAUUGAAAUCUUUCUCCACUAGAGGCUCGAGGUUGGGAAAGUCUUUGAAAGACAUGAGAGGGCAUAUCCUCGUCAAAAGUGACUUUUUCAGAGAAGAAAGGUCCCUGCUAAUCAACUCCAUACAUUUGGAAGAAGCUGAAUAAGGGACUAGAUUAUACUGCUUAAGUAUGUAUGUAAAGAAUGGGUACAAAGGAGACCUUAUUCUAGCACAGAGAAUUACCUAACUAACAAUAUUCUCAGUAGGGAUUACUGGUGGUAUACCAGCCUUGAAACAUAUCAUGGCUAUGUUAGCCCCCUGGAAGAUUCCCUUUGAUUUUUUUUUGAUGAAGAUGCCAUUUUAUAGCUUUUGGAAGAACAAAAACCUAAACAAAUCAAUCCAUGACUUACACAAGAAUCAAACAAGUCGACCUAAAAGAAAAAAAAUUGGUUUCUUGAUGGGAAGAAAUUGAACACUGCCAAAAAGAUGUAAAGGAAAUUUUACUUGCUCAGUGAUCUUUCGUGCAGUGUAAAAAGAAGAAAAAUG